rnacentral:rRNA from 1 species
UACGUAGGGUGCAAGCGUUAUUCGGAAUUACUGGGCGUAAAGCGCGCGCAGGCGGUUUUGUAAGUCUGUCGUGAAAGCCCCGGGCUCAACCUGGGAAUUGCGAUGGAGACUGCAAGGCUUGAAUCUGGCAGAGGGGGGUAGAAUUCCACGUGUAGCAGUGAAAUGCGUAGAGAUGUGGAGGAACACCGAUGGCGAAGGCAGCCCCCUGGGUCAAGAUUGACGCUCAUGCACGAAAGCGUGGGGAGCAAACAGG